GCGCUAAUAGCUCAGUUGGGAGAGCGUCAGACUGAAGAUCUGAAGGUCACCCGUUCAAUCCGGGUUUGGCGCA
rnacentral:tRNA from 2 species